rnacentral:rRNA from 1 species
AUUGAACGCUGGCGGCAUGCCUUACACAUGCAAGUCGAACGGCAGCACGGGAGCAAUCCUGGUGGCGAGUGGCGAACGGGUGAGUAAAGUAUCGGAACGUGCCCAGUCGUGGGGGAUAACGUAGCGAAAGUUACGCUAAUACCGCAUACGAUCUAUGGAUGAAAGCGGGGGAUCGCAAGACCUCGCGCGAUUGGAGCGGCCGAUAUCAGAUUAGGUAGUUGGUGGGGUAAAGGCCCACCAAGCCGACGAUCUGUAGCUGGUCUGAGAGGACGACCAGCCACACUGGGACGGAGACACGGCCCAGACUCCUACGGGGGGCAGCAGUGUGGAAUUUUGGAAAAUGGGCGAAAGCCUGAUCCAGCCAUGCCGCGUGCAGGAUGAAGGCCUUCGGGUUGUAAACUGCUUUUGUACGGAACGAAAAGGUUUGGCCUAAUAAGCUGAGCUCAUGACGGUACCGUAAGGAUAAGCACCGGCUAACUACGUGCCAGCAGCCGCGGUAA